UUGAAACCUCUUUUACGGAUAGGGCUGUGGAGUGUAGACUUGGAGGGGAGAGAAAUCUAACAUAGGUCCCGUUAACCCACUGUCCCUGUGUUUGUGAGAUGUCCACGAUGUCAGGCCUCCCAUUCUGAUAUGUUUCAGUAUAAAGACUUCCUUAGCAUUACUAGUUCUUGUCUCUUUUUUUAGACAGAGUUUUGUUCCUGUUACCCAGGCUGGAGUGCAAUGACGCGAUCUCGGCUCACGGCAACCUCCGCCUCCUGGGUUCAAGCCAUUCUCCUGCCUCAGCCUCCCGAGUAGCUGGGACUACAGACGUGCGCCACCACGCCCAGAGGGGAGAUGAGAACCCGGGAUCUCUACAGAUACAGGAGCUCCAAGGAGGACUCAGCAGAGCUGGAGCACCAUGUGGUCUAUUGCUUCUGCCCAAGUUCACCAAGCACAGUAAGUGUGAGAAAGCAGAGAAAAAGGAGGACGUGUGCUGGACAGGGUGGCCCAUAAGCUCUUGCCACCACCAGCUCCUUCAAGCCCAAAGCAUAGAGUCCAGUAGGCAGUUCCAAGAAUGCCUCUGAUUAUUUCAGGGACAGCCCAUGGCACAUGUGUGUGUGUGUGUGUGUGUGUGUGUGUACAUGUGUGUGUUGUGAAUUUGCAAGAGAAGAAACCUCAGGAGGGCCUGGGAUCCUCUAGUAAAGAUUUUCCUUAGGGAACAGCAGUGAUGUGUAGUGGCCUGAGGAUGCAGCCCUUGGGAUCACCACCGCCUACCGAGAGAGAUCAGAGGAAGAGAACUCUUUAAUGAGACAAAACAGACAGCGAAGUUCACAGAAAAUCAGGAGAGAGGAGUGUCCCCAAAGCCAGCAAGGGUGAGUGAUAAGAAAAUGCAAUAAACAUCAUUCUCUGAAGAGCA
rnacentral:lncRNA from 13 species